rnacentral:rRNA from 1 species
AUUGAACGCUGGCGGCAGGCCUAACACAUGCAAGUCGAACGGUAACAGGAAGCAGCUUGCUGCUUCGCUGACGAGUGGCGGACGGGUGAGUAAUGUCUGGGAAGCUGCCUGAUGGAGGGGAUAACUACUGGAAACGGUAGCUAAUACCGCAUAAUGUCGCAAGACCAAAAGAGGGGGACCUUCGUGCCUCUUGCCAUCGGAUGUGCCCAGAUGGGAUUAGCUUGUUGGUGGGGUAACGGCUCACCAAGGCGACGAUCCCUAGCUGGUCUGAGAGGAUGACCAGCCACACUGGAACUGAGACACGGUCCAGACUCCUACGGGAGGCAGCAGUGGGAAUAUUGCACAAUGGGCGCAAGCCUGAUGCAGCCAUGCCGCGUGUAUGAAGAAGGCCUGGUGUAAAGU